rnacentral:lncRNA from 1 species
GGAUACUCCAUAAUCACAUACUCCCAGUAGGUAGGACUGUAGGUGUGAGCCACCAUGCUGGGCUUUAUAUAUAUUUAAUGCUUUCAAAAGCCCUGAGAUCAAUGUUAUUAUACAAAUAUAUCAGAUGAGGAAAUCAAUUCUUAUAGAUGUUAACCAGCUUGUCCAAGAUGGUGGCCACCAAGCAGGUGGCAGAAAUGGAGAAGACUCAAGGAUUUGUGACUCCAAAAGUUCUCUCUUACCAUGAGGAUUCUUAAUUGUCCAACUCUUUACUAUAUAUGUGAAGCUGAUUAUGAUUGAAGGUGUCCUAGAAGAAGAGACCCUACACUGGGCUUGUGACCAGCGGAAACUGAAUCAAUGCUGGAGACACAUUCUAACAGUCGAAUGGGCAGCUCACAGGAGGGUCACUGGCCGCUGUGUGGAAAAGAGAAUGUGGGCUCACCAGAGUGAAUGCAAGGACACUGGUAGGGAGACUACUGAAAUCAUACAGGCAAAUGUGAUAGUGCCUUGAAAUAAGAUGGUAGUAACUAUAGCUGAUGGUUCUAUUUCUAAAAAGGAAUACUUUUAACUAACCUAUGAAUUACUAACUUAGUUAAAACCAUACAAACUAUUCAAUCAGCCCUGAAGUCAAAACAUGACAAAGUAAUCUUAAUAAAAGAAAACUAGUGAGCAAA